AGCAGCCGCGGUAAUUCCAGCUCCAAUAGCGUAUAUUAAAGUUGUUGCAGUUAAAAAGCUCGUAGUUGAAUUUCGGGAUCAAUAUAUCGGUCGUGCCAUCGGUACGUACUGGUAUGAUUGGUUUCUCCUUUCUGACGAACCAUGAUGUCAUUAAUUUGGUGUUAUGGGGAAUCAGGACUGUUACUUUGAAAAAAUUAGAGUGUUUAAAGCAGGCGGAAUGAUAUGCCUUACCUUCUGGUGAGCUGUCGUGUUGUUUACUCAGCGCGGCAGGGAACCAGGACUUUUACUUUGAAAAAAU
rnacentral:rRNA from 1 species